rnacentral:rRNA from 1 species
AAAGGAAUAGACGGGGACCCGCACAAGCAGCGGAGCAUGUGGUUUAAUUCGAAGCAACGCGAAGAACCUUACCAGGGCUUGACAUCCUUCUGAAAGAUCGGGUAAUUCUGGUCCUCCCUUCGGGGCAGAAGAGACAGGUGGUGCAUGGUUGUCGUCAGCUCGUGUCGUGAGAUGUUGGGUUAAGUCCCGCAACGAGCGCAACCCCUGCCGUCAGUUGCCAUCAUUAAGUUGGGCACUCUGACGGGACUGCCGAGGAUAACUCGGAGGAAGGCGGGGAUGACGUCAAAUCAUCAUGCCCCUUAUGUCCUGGGCGACACACGUGCUACAAUGGCCGGCACAGAGGGAAGCCAAGGAGCGAUCCGGAGCUAAACCCCAAAGCCGGCCCCAGUUCGGACUGCAGGCUGAAACUCGCCUGCACGAAGCCGGAGUUGCUAGUAAUCGCGGAUCAGAAUGCCGCGGUGAAUGCGUUCCCGGGUCUUGUACACACCGCCCGU